GCAUGGACGAAUUCUGUACCAGCUGGUUUGUGGUGGAUACAGUCAGACACCAUGCAAAAGUCACGUCUCAUUUCUGUUAAAAUGACCGGAUGAGUGCUUGCCUCAGUCUCAUCUGAAUGAACAGGAAUGAGUACAAUU